UACGGAGGGGGCUAGCGUUGUUCGGAAUUACUGGGCGUAAAGCGCACGUAGGCGGAUAUUUUAAGUCAGGGGUGAAAUCCCGGGGCUCAACCCCGGAACUGCCUUUGAUACUGGGUAUCUGGAGGUCGAGAGAGGCGAGUGGAAUUCCGAGUGUAGAGGUGAAAUUCGUAGAUAUUCGGAGGAACACCAGUGGCGAAGGCGGCUCGCUGGCUCGAUACUGACGCUGAGGUGCGAAAGCGUGGGGGAGCAAACAGG
rnacentral:rRNA from 1 species